UACGCAACUGCUUAAACCAGACCACAAUCCGGAGGAGGAGCUGCCUAGAAUUUUCUAUCUGCGAGAGGUGGCAUACCGCUGCAAGUUGUAUACUGUGAUAAUUUUCUGAUUGUUACAUUUUGUUGGCAAUGACUCGUGGAUUGGCUCCAGCAGACCCCCGUGACCCUGUGUUCGGAUUCAGCGGGUUGGAAAAUGGAUGGAUGGAAAUUACCAGGUGGAAACCAGCGUGAACUGGCACGACAGAAGAAUAUUAAGAAAAAUCAAGAAAACCUUAAAGGCAAAAGGAAAGAUGAUAAUUUAUCUCCAGCUCAAAGAAAGCAACGGUGAGGAGUGAACAGUAAGCUGAUUAAAGACUGAAAAAGAGAUGCUGAAAUAAUGGAGAUGAAGCAAAAAGCAGCAAAUGAAAAAAAGAAUACAUCCACUGGAAACAAGCUGUGAUCACCAACAAGGAAUGCCACGUCAAAUGCUUGAUGGCUUUUCUGAGUUAUGUAUAUAUCAUAGAAAUCCAGAAAAUUCAUUUGAAGUUUUGACAAGUGUGUCACUUCAUGUUGACAAUUGAGAAUAUUUAUGUUUUCUGUUAUACAGCCGUCGGCACAGUUCCUGUGUCAUAGUUCAGUAAAUAAAUUGACUGUAUGGAAAUACCAGAUCUCAAAUCUCCAAAUAGAUUUUUUUUUUAAUUAUUAUAAAUGGAUGCAUGUACAACACAGACCCAUCCCCAUUUAUUUACCAGGUUGUUAUUUAAGAUAAGUUUCUGAUGUCCUAGGAAAACAUUGUAAUACUAAGCAGUGUUAAUCUGUAAUUAUGCUUCAGUGUAAAAAAUAUGUGUGAUCAUUCCACCUGUAAAUUUAUACAUGCCAACCAUUAAAUUAUUUAAAUU